UGUUAUUUUAAGGGAUGAUUAACAAAUAA
rnacentral:piRNA from 1 species